AGUGAACGCUGGCGGUAGGCCUAACACAUGCAAGUCGAACGGCAGCACAGUAAGAGCUUGCUCUUACGGGUGGCGAGUGGCGGACGGGUGAGGAAUACAUCGGAAUCUACUUUUUCGUGGGGGAUAACGUAGGGAAACUUACGCUAAUACCGCAUACGACCUACGGGUGAAAGCAGGGGAUCUUCGGACCUUGCGCGACUGAAUGAGCCGAUGUCGGAUUAGCUAGUUGGCGGGGUAAAGGCCCACCAAGGCGACGAUCCGUAGCUGGUCUGAGAGGAUGAUCAGCCACACUGGAACUGAGACACGGUCCAGACUCCUACGGGAGGCAGCAGUGGGGAAUAUUGGACAAUGGGCGCAAGCCUGAUCCAGCCAUACUGCGUGGGUGAAGAAGGCCUUCGGGUUGUAAAGCCCUUUUGUUGGGAAAGAAAAGCAGCAGGUUAAUACCCCGCUGUUCUGACGGUACCCAAAGAAUAAGCACCGGCUAACUUCGUG
rnacentral:rRNA from 1 species